UACGGAAGGCAGCAGUGGGGAAUAUUGCACAAUGGGCGCAAGCCUGAUGCAGCCAUGCCGCGUGUAUGAAGAAGGCCUUCGGGUUGUAAAGUACUUUCAGUCGUGAGGAAGGUGUUAAGGUUAAUAACCUUAGCAAUUGACGUUAGCGACAGAAGAAGCACCGGCUAACUCCGUGCCAGCAGCCGCGGUAAUACGGAGGGUGCGAGCGUUAAUCGGAAUUACUGGGCGUAAAGGGCACGCAGGCGGUUAAUUAAGUUGGAUGUGAAUCCCCGGGCUUAACCUGGGAAUGGCAUUCAAGACUGGUUAGCUAGAGUCUUGUAGAGGGGGUAGAAUUCCAUGUGUAGCGGUGAAAUGCGUAGAGAUGUGGAGGAAUACCGGUGGCGAAGGCGGCCCCUGGGACAAGACUGACGCUCAUGUGCGAAAGCGUGGGGAGCAAACAGGAUUAGAUACC
rnacentral:rRNA from 1 species